rnacentral:rRNA from 1 species
AUUGAACGCUGGCGGCAUGCCUUACACAUGCAAGUCGAACGGCAGCACGGGUGCUGGCACCUGGUGGCGAGUGGCGAACGGGUGAGUAAUACAUCGGAACAUGUCCUGACGUGGGGGAUAGCCCGGCGAAAGCCGGAUUAAUACCGCAUACGAUCUACGGAUGAAAGCGGGGGACCUUCGGGCCUCGCGCUAUCGGGUUGGCCGAUGGCUGAUUAGCUAGUUGGUGGGGUAAAGGCCUACCAAGGCGACGAUCAGUAGCUGGUCUGAGAGGACGACCAGCCACACUGGAACUGAGACACGGCCCAGACUCCUACGGGAGGCAGCAGUGGGGAAUUUUGGACAAUGGGCGAAAGCCUGAUCCAGCAAUGCCGCGUGUGUGAAGAAGGCCUUCGGGUUGUAAAGCACUUUUGUCCGGAAAGAAAUCCUUGGCCCUAAUACGGUCGGGGGAUGACGGUACCGGAAGAAUAAGCACCGGCUAACUACGUG